rnacentral:rRNA from 1 species
AGUCGAACGCAGUAGCAAUACUGAGUGGCAAACGGGUGAGUAUAAUGUGGGAAUCUGCCUUUUGGUUUGGAAUAACACGGGGAAACUUGUGCUAAUACCGAAUAAGCCCUUACGGGGAAAGUUUUAACGCCGAAAGACGAGCCUGCACUUGAUUAGCUAGUUGGUAAGGUAAAAGCUUACCAAGGCAACGAUCAAUAGCUGUUCUUAGAGGAAGACCAGCCACAUUGGGACUGAGACACGGCCCAGACUCCUACGGGAGGCAGCAGUGGGGAAUCUUGCACAAUGGGGGAAACCCUGAUGCAGCGAUGCCGCGUGAGUGAAGAAGGCCCUUGGGUUGUAAAACUCUUUCGUCGGGGAAGAAAAUGACUGUACCCGAAUAAGAAGGUCCGGCUAACUUCGUGCCAGCAGCCGCGGUAAUACGAAGGGACCUAGCGUAGUUCGGAAUUACUGGGCUUAAAGAGCUCGUAGGUGGUUAAAAAAGUUGAUGGUGAAAUCCCAAGGCUCAACCUUGGAACUGCCAUCAAAACUUUAUAGCUAGAGUGUGAUAGAGGUAAGUGGAAUUUCUAGUGUAGAGGUGAAAUUCGUAGAUAUUAGAAAGAACACCAAAUGCGAAGGCAACUUACUGGGUCACUACUGACACUGAGGAGCGAAAGCAUGGGUAGCGAAGAGGAUUAGAUACCCUCGUAGUCCAUGCCGUAAACGAUGUGUGCUAGACGUUGGAAAUAUAUUUUUCAGUGUCGCAGCGAAAGCAUUAAGCACACCGCCUGGGGAGUACGACCGCAAGGUUAAAACUCAAAUGAAUUGACGGGACCCGCACAAGCAGUGGAGCAUGUGGUUUAAUUCGAAGAUACGCGCAGAACCUUACCAACACUUGACAUGUUCGUCGCGAAACUAAGAGAUUAGUUUCUUCA